rnacentral:tRNA from 1 species
GCCUGUGUGGUGCAGUGGUUAGCGUGUUGGACUAGGACCUGGGAGACAUGGGUUCAAAUCCCCACAGACC